GAUGAACGCUAGCGGCAGGCCUAAUACAUGCAAGACGAACGGUAAGUUGAGUAGCAAUACUUAGCCAAGAGUGUCGUACGGGUGCGUAACACGUAUGCAACCUACCCUAUACAGGAGGAUAGCCUAGGGGAAACCUGGAUUAACCCUUCAUAGUAUUAUUGGAUGGCAUCAUUUGAUAAUUAAAACUGAGGUGGUAUAGGAUGGGCAUGCGUCUGAUUAGUUAGUUGGCGGGUAAUGGCCCACCAAGACGAUGAUCAGUAGGGGUUCGUGAGAGGAAGAUCCCCCACACUGGCACUGAGAUAC
rnacentral:rRNA from 1 species